GGCUCCCAGUAGCUUUGAAGUGAAGGACUGAAGACCCUGGCUUGUGUGAGUAGAGCUCCUAAGAGACGAGCUCACAAACCAGAGUUGGGAGCGUCCACUUUAUGCAUCCAGUUCCACCCGGAGGACACGAUUUCCAACGAGCUCAGAUUAAGGAGUUCCAAAGCCCUAGAAGCAGUGAAUCAGGAAUACUGGUUAUGAUCUAUACCAGAGUCUUUUCAGACAGAACACACUGGACAUGAACAAUAACUGAUACAUCUUCAGUCCAGCGAGAAAGUGAUUUGUCCUCGGAGGAAGAACCCAGGUGACACUCACAAAGGUCCGACAGACUCUCUUCCCAUCAUGUCCAUCAUUUAGCCAUCUGAGAGGGCAGAAGAGGAAUCUGGUUCCUGAACACUUGUUUCACGGGAAGGCUGCCUCACAAAAUGUAAUAAUGGUCUUCCUUCUGCACCAGAGGGCCUUCCG